AUGAUCAAAUGCUUGUCAGCUGAAGUACAAGCUAAAUUGCGUUCUGGUUUGGCUGUAUGCUCCUUAGGCCAAUGUGUUGAGGAGCUUGCCCUCAACAGUAUUGAUGCUGAAGCAAAAUGUGUGGCUGUCAGGGUGAACAUGGAAACCUUCCAAGUUCAAGUGAUAGACAAUGGAUUUGGGAUGGGGAGUGAUGAUGUAGACAAGGUGGGAAAUCGUUAUUUCACCAGUAAAUGCAACUCUGUACAAGACUUGGAGAACCCAAGGUUUUAUGGUUUCCGGGGGGAGGCGUUGGCCAGUAUAGCAGAUAUGGCCAGUGCUGUGGAAAUUUCAUCCAAGAAAAACAAGUCGAUGAAAACAUUUGUGAAACUGUUUCAGAAUGGGAAAGCCCUGAAAGCUUGUGAAGCUGCCUUCACUCGACCAAGUACCGGGACAACAGUCACUGUAUAUAAUCUGUUUUAUCAAUUACCUGUUAGGAGGAAAUGCAUGGAUCCUAGACUGGAGUUUGAGAAGGUUAGGCAGAGGAUAGAAGCUCUGUCACUCAUGCACCCUUCCAUUUCUUUCUCUUUGAGAAAUGAUGUUUCUGGUUCCAUGGUUCUUCAACUCCCUAAAACGAAAGACAUAUGUUCCCGAUUUUGUCAAAUUUAUGGACUGGGUAAGUCCCAAAAGUUAAGAGAAAUAAAUUUUAAAUAUAAGGAGUUUGAGCUUACUGGCUUUAUCAGCUCUGAAGCACAUUAUAAUAAGAAUAUGCAGUUUUUGUUUGUGAACAAGAGGUUAGUUUUAAGGACAAAGUUGCAUAAACUCAUUGACUUUUUAUUAAGGAAAGAAAGUAUUAUAUGCAAACCAAAGAGUGGUUCUGCCAGUAGGCAAAUGAAUUCAAGUCCUCGGCCUAGGUCUAACCCGGAACUCCAUGGGAUCUACGUAAUCAAUGUGCAGUGCCAGUUCUGUGAGUAUGACGUGUGCCUGGAGCCAGCAAAAACCCUGAUUGAGUUUCAGAACUGGGAUACUCUUUUGGUUUGCAUUCAGGAAGGAGUAAAAAUGUUUUUAAAGAAAGAAAAAUUAUUUGUGGAAUUAUCAAGUGAAGACAUUAAGGAAUUUAGUGAAGAUAAUGAUUUUAGUUUAUUCAGUGCCAGUCUUCAGAAGCAAGUGUCCUCUGAUGAGAAGUGUGGCCGGGUCAGUUUCCAAGAAGCAUGUAAUAAUAUUUUGGAUUCCUAUGAGAUGUUCAAUUUGCAGUCAAAAGCUGUGAAAAGAAAAGCUCCUGUAGAAAACAUAAGCACACAUAAUUCUAGGGAUUCGGAAACUAUCAGAAAAAAGACAAAUGAUUCAUUUUUGUACACUUACAAAUCCGAUGGGCCAGCCCAUUAUAAAAUGGCAGAGUCAUCUUUGCAAAAUGAAGACAGUGCUUGCUCACACUCAAGGAACUUAGAACAAGACACAGCUGGAGCAUCAGAAUCAGGAGAAAAUAAGAAACAUAAAAAAUCUUGCUUGGAACAUAACUCUUCAGAAAAUCCAUGUGGAACCAGUUCAGAAAUGUGUGGAAGCCCUUUUCAGACAUUAUAUCACUUUGAGGGGAGUGGAGAAGAUCUAGAAAUACAAAAAGUAAGUACUGCUGUUAAUAGCAUGGCUGCCAACAUCCUGGAAAAUAACAGAAUUCAGAAUCAACCAGAGAGAUAUAAAGAUGCUACUGAAAUGAAAUGCCAACCUCUGUCUUUUGAGACAGCAUUAUCAGGAGAACCUAGUGCUCAGAGAGAGGAAGAGAAAAGAAAAAAACCUAGUGCUUGUGGAAGAAUAAAUGUUUUUCAUUAUGGACAAGUUAAAUUAUGUUCUACUGGCUUCAUAACUCAUGUGGUACAGAGUGAGCAAACUAAAUCAACUGAAACAGAACAUUUAUUUAAAAGUUAUGCUCAACCUGGUCCUGUGAGUGCCAAAGAAACAUUUAGAAAUAGAACACACCAUUCAGUUAAGAUUCUAAACAGCAAAGAUUUAACCAGCACUUUAAGUAAAGAAUUUGCUCAACUGCCCAACAAAAGUCUGUGCAGCACAGAUCGAAGUUAUGAGCUAGAGAACAAACAUACAGCAGCUUAUAAAAAUUUUGCUAUUUUUCAGGAAAGUAGUAAAAAAUCACACACAGGUGGCUUAUUACUCGACACAUCCUCUUUCUCUUGGGGUAGACAUGUUUCAGAUGGUAGUAAGAAAACCGACAAGUUGAUUGGUCCUGCCAAACCCAUACCUCAUAAGAAGCUAAGCUUAAGUUCACAACUAGGAUCUUUAGAGAAGUUUAAGAGGCAAUAUGGGAAGGUUAAAAAUCCUCUCAAUACUGAAGUGGAGGAAAAUAAUACUUUAGAAAUCACUACCAAUCUCAGUCCUCAAGUUGAAGCUGACAUUCCAUGGAAAGACAAAAACCACUUAGACAACUCUGACAUCUGUGAAAUCACUACUAUGAAAUAUAAUGAUUCCAAUAGUAGUUGUCAACCAGUAAAUCACAUGUUUUCUUCAGAAAAGUUUCCAUUCUCCAAGGAAGAUCAUUGUUUGGAACAACAGAUGCUUUGCUUAACAGAAAGUACUGUAACUCUACAGGAGUUACCUCAUUUUAACAGUAAAUUUUUGGAUGUUGAGAAGUCACCUGAAUCACUAGCCUCUAAAUUAUCCAGAUUGAAGGAUUCCGAAAGAGAGACUCCAAGGAUGGAUGUAAGUCAUUUUAAUGAAUUGCCACAAUUAGAUUCCAGUAGGAAAGAUGGUGACUUGUCCAGUGGGUUAACCCUAGAUUCUUGUAAGUUAUUUAAAAAUGAGCAUAAAAAACCAGAAAGUGACAACAUCCCAAUGUCAGACUCUGUCACACAAAGUAAUCUCUUCAGUAAAGACAGUGAAACAUAUUCUAACAACAAUACCACUGAGAAGAUACCAGGAAAUCCUUUGGUUCUGCCCUAUGACCAUGCUACAGUUAUCAGUAAGGAUUCAGAUGUUCUUAUAGCUUCAAAACAACAGAUUGGAAGUCCUUUCUCUAUGAGCAGAAUGUUAAUGAGUCGCAUGGAAGAUUCCACAGCUGACCAAAAUGGAACUUGUUUUCAGAGUGAGGAAUCCAUAGCCAUAGCAAGAACUUGUUCUGAAAAUGAAGGGUCCAACAUAUGUUCUUUGGAUUGGCAGCAGCAUUUUGAUGUAACUCUGGGAAGAAUGGUUUACAUCAACAAACUAACAGGACUUAGCACGUUCACUGCUCCUACUGAGGAUGUUCGGGCCGCUUGUACUAAAGACCUGACAACUAUGGCUGUGGAUGUGCUACUGGAGAACGAUUCCUAUGAGAAACAACAGCCACAAGGCUUUGGUCGAAAAAAAUUACUGUCUUCCAUCGUAAGUCCUCCACUAGAGAUAACAGUGACAGAGGAACAAAGGAGACUCUUACGGUGUUACCACAAAAAUCUGGAAGAUCUGGGCCUUGAAAUUGUAUUUCCAGACACCAGUGAUUCACUGGUCCUCAUAGGAAAAGUACCACUCUGUUUUGUAGAAAGAGAAGCCAAUGAACUUCGAAGAGGAAGAUCUACUGUGACCAAGGGCAUUGUGGAGGAGUUUAUUCGAGAACAAGUGGAGCUACUCCAGACCACAGGAGGCAUCCAAGGGACUUUACCACUGACCGUCCAGAAGGUGUUGGCAUCCCAAGCCUGCCAUGGGGCCAUUAAGUUUAAUGAUGGCCUGAGCUUCGAGGAGAGCUGUCGCCUUAUUGAAGCGCUAUCCUGGUGCCAGCUGCCGUUCCAGUGUGCUCAUGGCAGGCCCUCCAUGCUGCCAUUAGCUAACAUCGACCACUUGGAGCAGGAAAAACAGACUAAACCCAAUCUUGCUAAACUUCGCAGAAUGGCUCAGGCCUGGCAUCUCUUUGGAAAAGGAGAAGGAUGUGAUGUAGGGCAAGGCCUGCAGGCAUCCAUGCCUCCUUGUGAGCUGCCAAGAGAGCAGAAUUACUCUCUGUAAGGACCCAAAGGGAUGCUGACUGUAGGCCUUUGAGCAGAGAGCAUGAGCAACAGACACCAAUCGGGUCUUGACUGAAUGGGCCUGGGGCCCUGAUCAGCAUCUCCAUCUUCCCUGAGCAGGUGAUCCCUCCAGUUGAGGAGCCAGAUGGAUUUCAAGCCUAAAGACAGGUCAUUCAUUGGCAUCCAUGGACACAGGAGGUUGCCUUCUAAUGUCUACAUUUUGUAAUUUAUAAAGGGGAUAAAAUUUAAUGACUAAUUGUC
rnacentral:lncRNA from 1 species